rnacentral:rRNA from 1 species
UCGGUCUGGUGGCGAGUGGCGAACGGGUGAGUAAUGCAUCGGAACGUGCCCAACUGUGGGGGAUAGCUCGGCGAAAGCCGGAUUAAUACCGCAUACGAUCCACGGAUGAAAGCGGGGGACCUUCGGGCCUCGCGCAGUUGGAGCGGCCGAUGUUAGAUUAGGUAGUUGGUGGGGUAAAGGCUCACCAAGCCGACGAUCUAUAGCUGGUCUGAGAGGACGACCAGCCACACUGGGACUGAGACACGGCCCAGACUCCUACGGGAGGCAGCAGUGGGGAAUUUUGGACAAUGGGCGCAAGCCUGAUCCAGCAAUACCGCGUGCAGGAAGAAGGCCUUCGGGUUGUAAACUGCUUUUGUACGGAACGAAAAGGUCUGGGUUAAUACCCUGGGCUCAUGACGGUACCGUAAGAAUAAGCACCGGCUAACUACGUGCCAGCAGCCGCGGUAAUACGUAGGGUGCAAGCGUUAAUCGGAAUUACUGGGCGUAAAGCGUGCGCAGGCGGUUAUGUAAGACAGGCGUGAAAUCCCCGGGCUCAACCUGGGAAUUGCGCUCGUGACUGCAUAACUAGGGUACGGUAGAGGGGGAUGGAAUUCCGCGUGUAGCAGUGAAAUGCGUAGAUAUGCGGAGGAACACCAAUGGCGAAGGCAGUCCCCUGGACCUGUACUGACGCUCAUGCAUGAAAGCGUGGGGAGCAAACAGG